GUAAAGUAGGAAGGCGUGUAUCUCAGCAGUGCAUUGGUCAAUCUACGUGAUUGACACGUCUAUACAACCGUCAGAGCCAGUAGAAUCGACGGACAACAUCGAAGUCCCUCCCAAGGACACCAUUGGUAUCUGUGACGGGGCAUCAUUUAGAGUGCGACUUCCGCCUGUGUAGUCGACGUAGGACGGUCCAGGUGGAUUAAUAUCUUGAAUUGACCAGCAGUCUUCGAGCUAGCGAACGGAAUCGGAUUUAUGGAUCAAAACACAACUUUUCCUGCAAAUACUUAGACGGUUAUUGGCAGAGGAGAAGUCCACCUUUCAUGAUUCGGGGCAAUGCUCUGCUGAGGAAUGUAUCUAUAAAUUGGAAUAACAGGAUAAUGAGGAGGAGAAGUGGAGCAGCAGAUGGUCCUCCUUGUUAAAGGCACCGCUUCCAUUGCAGUGACCUCUGCCCUCCCAUGUGUUGCAGUGGUGCUAAAUGAAGUAGAAGAGAACAUCCAUCAAAUACUGUGCUAACUACACACAAAUAAAUGGCUGAUGCAGAGGAUGGAUCUCCCACAGGGGCUGUGAUGGGUCUGCCAGAGCGGACGGUCGUGUUGAGAGAGAAAUACAACGUUUGACAUGUUUAGACGGAGAGAACAUGGGGGAGAUAAAUGAAAAGCCAGGAUGCAACUAGGAGAGGGACAAACAGCAUGUAGGAGAAUUAACCCUGUCAAACUGAGUUAUAUUCUCAAUACACCAGGGCAACCUCAGCUUUGACAGCCAUCUCGUCUUAUCUGACUGCUCACAAAAACAUGAUCUAUCCAUCCACCGGGGAAGGAGGGUGGGUAAUGGAGAGAGCGACAGAUACAGAGGCAAUUCUUGCGCGUUUCUGGAACAGCGCUGACGUCUACUGGCUCCCUUUCAAUGGCGUUGACAAAGCGAGCUUCAGCCACAGCGAUGGCACAGAUGACGUGGACCCACCUACACAUGGAGAGAGACCGUCAACAUCAACACGUCAUACAGUGAUUAUUUUUCAUUUGUUUCCUGAAUAAAGACAUUUUAAUAAACCCAUUGGGAUUUAGGUAUU